ACUACUACUUUUCUCUGCUUCAUUUUUGUAAUUAAAUAAUUUCUCUUUUCCGUUUGACUUGUUUUUUUAGAGAUUCGCUGUUCUUGCUGGGUUUCUCGGCUUGAGCGGUGAAUUUCUUUUUUGUUGAAAUUUCCCAGGCCUGUGUCCAAUUUUCUUUUAUUUUUUCCCUUUUCUAUCAAAUCUAUCAUAUGAUCUCAACUAGUUUGAAGGUGAGAUAUAGUUGUUAUUGUUCUUUUAUUGGAUUAUCUUGCUUUUGCUCGUAUAAUAUGACUAAACCCAAAUUGUGAAAUUGGUGGUUAUUUUGAUUUCUGUAAUAAAGAUCUCACCUUUAUUCAUAUAAUUUCUAACCCCACAAAUUGGUGUAUUAUUUGGAUUUCGUGAAUAAAGAUCUUACCUUUAUUCAUAUUAUUAACCCCAAACCGUGAAAUUAGUUUUUUAUUUUGAUUUUCUGAAAAAAGAUCUUACCUUUAUUCAACAAUGAAGUUCAACUAAUUUGGGACCCGAUUGAGAAUAUGAGUUUUGUUUUCUAGUGUAGGAAUAUUGUCGUUGUAUAAAAUGGGAGAGCAUUUGGUGGUGAGUGAUGACCGGGUUGUGAACCCAGAUGGAGGAGAAAUGGUUCAAAUUUCCAUUGAGAACAGGCAGAAGCCAGGAGUGGAAGGACCCUCUUCUUCAAAAACUGGAAAGGAGAAAGAACUGACCGUGGAAGAAGAAGAAGAAGAAGCUAAUGAGGAGGUUCCAUUAAUUGGGAAUGCAGAGUGCCGCAUUUGCCAAGACGAAGAUUCCUUGAACAAUUUGGAGAGCCCUUGUGCUUGCAGUGGAAGUCUCAAGGUGAAUUUUCUAUUUUCCCUCCCGUUAUCUUUGUUGUUAGCACAUUUAUAUAUUCUCUUAUUGAGUCGCAAAAAUAUUCAAAUACUCAUAUACCCACGCACACCUUACAUUUUAGUUGUUUUCUUAAAACUCCCUUUUCCUAAUUGUUCCAUCUCUUGUCUUCCAUAAAUUGUGCAUUAGAAGUCAGCUUUUGCUUUUUGUCUUGAGUUAGGAUCUUUCUCCUGGUCAACUGUAUGUCAACAAUCAAUUUAUAGGCUGCCCAAAUUCCCUUGUGUGCUAUCCUCCAGGUGAUGGUGGUCUUCUCCAUUCUUAGGAUUGCUUAGUUAUGUCUCCAUGGUGCCUCACUGGUAGAGGCAGACCUAUGUGUAACCUUGAGGGGUCACUGAACCCCUUAAACUUUGGCAGAAAUCUUGUAUAUGUAUAUGCAUAUACCCUAUUUUCACCCCCGUUAUCUUUGUUGUUAGCAAAUUUAGAUAUAUUCUCUUAUCGAGUCACAAUCAUACCCAUGCAUACCUUACAUUUUAGUUGUUUUCUUAAAACUCCCUUGUCCUAAUUGUUCCAUCUCUUGUUCUCCGUAAAUUGUGCAUUAGAAGUCGGCUUUUACUUUUUAUGUUGAGUUAGGAUCUUUCCCCUGGUCAACUGUACGCCAACAAUCAAUUCUAAGGCUUCCCAAAUUCCCUUGUGUGCUAUCCUCUGGGUGAUGGUGGUCUUGUCCGUUCUUAGGAUUGCUUAUUUAUGUCUCCAUGGUGCCUCAUUGGUAGAGGCAAACCUGUGUGUAACCUUGAGGGGUCACCUAACCCCGUAAACUUAUGCAGAAAUCUUGUAUAUGCAUAUGCGUAUACCUUGAAAAUGGUUAAUUUAAAUCCCUUAGCACCCUGAGCACUAAAAGCCUUUAGGGGACUAUUUGAGCAGAUUAUUGGUGCCCCCGUCGCGUUAAAAUACUGGGUCUACCUCUACUCGUUGGUGAUCUCAUUGAUGUUUUAGGCGAUUAUCUGGAGCCCCUAAAACAUCCUUUCUUCCCUUAGAUUAUCCGGUUGCACAAUUGUACUGAUAGAGCAUGCGAUUUAUUAAAGUUGUUAGGUAUUUCAAGUUCUUGCUCUACUGUCUUUCCGCCUUAUUUCCUUUCUUUAAUUGUUUUGCUUUUCUUUUAGUGUAUGAGUAGUUUGUCUAAAUG
rnacentral:lncRNA from 1 species